CAAAGGAGCAAUCCGCUGAAAGAUGGGCUCGCGUCCGAUUAGGUAGUUGGCGGGGCAACGGCCCACCAAGCCGACGAUCGGUAGCCGGACUGAGAGGUUGAACGGCCACAUUGGGACUGAGACACGGCCCAGACUCCUACGGGAGGCAGCAGUGAGGGAUGUUGGUCAAUGGGGGAAACCCUGAACCAGCAACGCCGCGUGAGGGAAGACGGUUUUCGGAUUGUAAACCUCUGUCCUCUGUGAAGAUGAUGACGGUAGCAGAGGAGGAAGCUCCGGCUAACUACGUGCCAGCAGCCGCGGUAAUACGUAGGGAGCAAGCGUUGUCCGGAUUUACUGGGUGUAAAGGGUGCGUAGGCGGCUUUGCAAGUCAGAAGUGAAAUCCAUGGGCUUAACCCAUGAACUGCUUUUGAAACUGCAGAGCUUGAGUGGAGUAGAGGUAGGCGGAAUUCCCGGUGUAGCGGUGAAAUGCGUAGAGAUCGGGAGGAACACCAGUGGCGAAGGCGGCCUGCUGGGCUCUAACUGACGCUGAGGCACGAAGGCGUGGGUAGCAAACAGGAUUAGAUACCCUGGUAGUCCACGCUGUAAACGAUGAUUACUAGGUGUGGGUGGACUGACCCCAUCC
rnacentral:rRNA from 1 species